UACGUAGGGUGCAAGCGUUGUCCGGAAUUAUUGGGCGUAAAGAGCUCGUAGGCGGUUCGUCGCGUCGGCUGUGAAAACCUGAGGCUCAACCUCAGGCCUGCAGUCGAUACGGGCGGACUUGAGUACUGCAGGGGAGACUGGAAUUCCUGGUGUAGCGGUGAAAUGCGCAGAUAUCAGGAGGAACACCAGCGGCGAAGGCGGCGCUCUGGGCCGGUACUGACACUGAGGAGCGAAAGCGUGGGUAGCAAACAGG
rnacentral:rRNA from 1 species